rnacentral:tRNA from 1 species
GGAGCGGUGGCAGAGUCUGGUCGAUUGCAGCUGCCUUGAAAGCAGCCGGCCCGUUCACGCGGGCCCGGGGGUUCGAAUCCCUCCCGCUCCGCCA